AUAUCCGCGUUUUACCCGAACGGGUAAAACGCGGAUAUGGUGUAAAAUAUGCUUUUCGGCUCAUUAAAAGGCAUAUCCGCGUUUUACCCGAUCGGGUAAAACGCGGAUAUGGUGUAAAAUAUGCUUUUCGGCUCUUUCAAAGGCAUAUCCGCGUUUUACCCGAACGGGUAAAACGCGGAUAUGGUGUAAAAUAUGCUUUUCGGCUCUUUCAAAGGGAUAUCCGCGCUUUACCCGAUCGGGUAAAACGCGGAUAUGGUGUAAA